CAGUCGCCGCGGGAAAACGAAGGGGGCUAGCGUUGCUCGGAAUCACUGGGCGUAAAGGGUGCGUAGGCGGCUUUGUAAGUUAGAGGUGAAAGCCCGGAGCUCACCUCCGGAAUUGCCUUUAAGACUGCAGAGCUAGCAGGUGAGAGAGGUGAGUGGAAUUCCGAGUGUAGAGGUGAAAUUCGUAGAUAUUCGGAAGAACACCAGUGGCGAAGGCGGCUCACUGGCUCAUACUGGACGCUGAGGUGCGAAAGCGUGGGGAGCAAACAGGAUUAGAUACCCCGGUAGUCCCUGUCUCUUAUAC
rnacentral:rRNA from 1 species